AGAGUUUGAUCCUGGCUCAGAACGAACGCUGGCGGCAGGCCUAACACAUGCAAGUCGAGCGCACCUUCGGGUGAGCGGCGGACGGGUUAGUAACGCGUGGGAACAUACCCUUUUCUACGGAAUAGCCUCGGGAAACUGAGAGUAAUACCGUAUACGCCCUUCGGGGGAAAGAUUUAUCGGUGAAGGAUUGGCCCGCGUUUGAUUAGAUAGUUGGUGGGGUAAUGGCCUACCAAGUCUACGAUCAAUAGCUGGUUUGAGAGGAUGAUCAGCAACACUGGGACUGAGACACGGCCCAGACCCCUACGGGAGGCAGCAGUGGGGAAUCUUAGACAAUGGGCGCAAGCCUGAUCUAGCCAUGCCGCGUGAGUGACGAAGGCCUUAGGGUCGUAAAGCUCUUUCGCCAGGGAUGAUAAUGACAGUACCUGGUAAAGAAACCCCGGCUAACUCCGUGCCAGCAGCCGCGGUAAUACGGAGGGGGUUAGCGUUGUUCGGAAUUACUGGGCGUAAAGCGCACGUAGGCGGAUUGGAAAGUAUGGGGUGAAAUCCCAGGGCUCAACCCUGGAACUGCCCUGUAAACUAUCAGUCUAGAGUUCGAGAGAGGUGAGUGGAAUUCCAAGUGUAGAGGUGAAAUUCGUGAUAUUUGGAGGAACACCAGUGGCGAAGGCGGCUCACUGGCUCGAUACUGACGCUGAGGUGCGAAAGUGUGGGGAGCAAACAGGAUUAGAUACCCUGGUAGUCCACACCGUAAACGAUGAAUGCCAGACGUCGGGGGCUUGCCCUUCGGUGUCACACCUAACGGAUUAAGCAUUCCGCCUGGGGAGUACGGUCGCAAGAUUAAAACUCAAAGGAAUUGCCGGGGGCCCGCACAAGCGGUGGAGCAUGUGGUUUAAUUCGAAGCAACGCGCAGAACCUUACCAACCCUUGACAUCCUAGGACCGCCAGAGAGAUCUGGUUUCCACUUCGGUGGCCUAGUGACUGGUGCUGCAUGGCUGUCGUCAGCUCGUGUCGUGAGAUGUUCGGUUAAGUCCGGCAACGAGCGCAACCCACAUCCUUAGUUGCCAGCAGUUCGGCUGGGCACUCUAGGGAAACUGCCCGUGAUAAGCGGGAGGAAGGUGUGGAUGACGUCAAGUCUUCAUGGCCCUUACGGGUUGGGCUACACACGUGCUACAAUGGCAUCUACAGUGAGUUAAUCUCCAAAAGAUGUCUCAGUUCGGAUUGGGGUCUGCAACUCGACCCCAUGAAGUCGGAAUCGCUAGUAAUCGCGUAACAGCAUGACGCGGUGAAUACGUUCCCGGGCCUUGUACACACCGCCCGUCACACCAUGGGAGUUGGUUCUACCCGACGACGCUGCGCUAACCUUCGGGGGGCAGGCGGCCACGGUAGGAUCAGCGACUGGGGUGAAGUCGUAACAAGGUA
rnacentral:rRNA from 1 species